AUUGAACGCUGGCGGCAUGCCUUACACAUGCAAGUCGAACGGCAGCACGGGAGCAAUCCUGGUGGCGAGUGGCGAACGGGUGAGUAAAGUAUCGGAACGUGCCCAGUCGUGGGGGAUAACGUAGCGAAAGUUACGCUAAUACCGCAUACGAUCUAUGGAUGAAAGCGGGGGAUCGCAAGACCUCGCGCGAUUGGAGCGGCCGAUAUCAGAUUAGGUAGUUGGUGGGGUAAAGGCUCACCAAGCCGACGAUCUGUAGCUGGUCUGAGAGGACGACCAGCCAACCUGGGACUGAGGCACGGCCCAGACUCCUACGGGAGGCAGCAGUGGGGAAUUUUGAACAAUGGGCGAAAGCCUGAUCCAGCCAUGCCGCGUGCAGGAUGAAGGCCUUCGGGUUGUAAACUGCUUUUGUACGGAACGAAAAGGUUUGGGCUAAUAAGCUGAGCUCAUGACGGUACCGUAAGAAUAAGCACCGGCUAACUACGUGCCAGCCGCCGCCGUAA
rnacentral:rRNA from 1 species